UACAGAGGUCCCAAGCGUUGUUCGGAUUCACUGGGCGUAAAGGGUGCGUAGGUGGUUGGGUAAGUCUGAGGUGAAAUCUCCGAGCUUAACUCGGAAACUGCCUUGGAUACUAUCCAGCUUGAGGGUUGGAGGGGGUACUGGAAUUCUCGGUGUAGCAGUGAAAUGCGUAGAUAUCGAGAGGAACACCAGUGGCGAAGGCGAGUCCCUGGACAACUCCUGACACUGAGGCACGAAAGCUAGGGGAGCAAACAGG
rnacentral:rRNA from 1 species